rnacentral:lncRNA from 1 species
GAGGAGCCUUUAGUCAGGUCUCUGAAAUAGGAAGCAUCUGUACUUCCACACAUUGAAGAAUGACACUAUGACGUGUUUUUCACUGUGUUCUUCAUUUUGACAUAAGGCAUGUUCAUCUCAGUGCCAAGAGACAUGAUGAAUGCCAGCUCUGAAGUGAAAGGAUACAGGAACAGGCUGUAUCUAACUGUGACUGCAUAACGUGGAAAACAGAAUUGUUAAUACAGUAAAGCUGUGAGUGAACUCAUCCCCCAUCACCACUGCGUCUUCCAGAUUCAGAGCUCUUCUUUUGUCUUUGCUGAAAGCAGAAACAGGGACUCUCAGAGAGCUCUUCUGGACUGCGAGGGUGCCAUAACACGUGAAAGAGUGUGUUGUGAAUGCUGAACUUUGGUAUAACUGAGGCUUGGCAAGUUGCCUGAGGCUAUGCAACAGCAGCAUCAAUAGGCCAGAAAGCUGCAAAUGGGUUGUUAUGAGAAGGAUAAGGAGCAAGCUAAAUCUUGUAAGAGCUGAAAAAUAUCUGCAAUGGGAGGAAAAGAAAAAUGGUUUGUAAGGUGUUGGCUGCAAACAAUUUUGCUGGUCUGUUU